ACUGCUCAGUAACACGUGGACAACCUGCCCUUAGGUUGGGUAUAAACCCGGGAAACUGGGUAUAAUACCCGAUAGGUCUCGAUUGUUGGAAUGCAUCGAGAUUUAAAGUCCGCCGCCUGAGGAUGGGUCUGCGGCCGAUUAGGUUGUUGUUGGGGUAAAGGCCCAACAAGCCUUUGAUCGGUACGGGUUGUGAGAGCAAGAGCCCGGAGAUGGAUUCUGAGACACAAACCCAGGCCCUACGGGGCGCAGCAGGCGCGAAAACUUUACAAUGCGAGAAAUCGUGAUAAGGGAACCCCGAGUGCCCGUAAAUUCGGGCUGUCCGCCAGCGUAAAAAACUGGUGAAGAAAGGGCCGGGCAAGACCGGUGCCAGCCGCCGCGGUAAUACCGGCGGCUCGAGUGGUGGCCACUAUUACUGGGCUUAAAGCGUCCGUAGCUGGAUUGUUAAGUCUUUUGGGAAAUCCUCCGGCUUAACCGGUGGGCGAUCAGGAGAAACUGGCAAUCUAGGGACCGGGAGAGGUGAGAGGUACUCCAGGGGUAGGAGUGAAAUCCUGUAAUCCUUGGGGGACCACCUGUGGCGAAGGCGUCUCACUAGAACGGCUCCGACAGUGAGGGACGAAAGCUGGGGGAGCAAACCGGAUUAGAUACCCGGGUAGUCCCAGCUGUAAACGAUGCGCGUUAGGUGUAUCGGUGACCACGAGGCAUCGAGGUGCCGAAGGGAAACCGUGAAACGUGCCGCCUGGGAAGUACGGUCGCAAGGCUGAAACUUAAAGGAAUUGGCGGGGGAG
rnacentral:rRNA from 1 species